rnacentral:rRNA from 1 species
UACGAAGGGGGCUAGCGUUGCUCGGAAUCACUGGGCGUAAAGCGCACGUAGGCGGCUUGUUAAGUCAGGGGUGAAAUCCUGGAGCUCAACUCCAGAACUGCCUUUGAUACUGGCGAGCUUGAGUUCGGGAGAGGUGAGUGGAACUGCGAGUGUAGAGGUGAAAUUCGUAGAUAUUCGCAAGAACACCCGUGGCUAAGGCGGCUCUCUAGUACGGUACUGACGCUGAGACGCGAAAGCGUGGGGAGCGAACAGG